rnacentral:tRNA from 1 species
GGGUGCUUAGCUCAGCUGGUAGAGCGUCGGUCUCCAAAACCGCAGGUCGGGGGUUCGAUCCCCUCAGCACUCG